CAUUCACGUGAAAACGCACAAGACUCUCUGCUUCAGCCACCGCCGCUCCUCCUUGCUGCUAUCCCUCACGCCGCCGUUCCUCUCCCCCGCCUUCACUUUCGUUGCUGCAGCCUCCCUCGCCGUCGGACCACCAUCACGCCACUGUUUCGUUCGCAGCAACCACCACCGCGCCACCAGCCGCGCCCAUAACGAUUGUUCGCCGCCGCACCACCAACAACCAUCGCGCGGACGCUGACACCCUCCGCCGUACUCCUCCGACCAGCGUCGCCGCCCACUGUUGCCGCGCCGCCCUGCCUGCCGGCCAGCAGUUUCC